rnacentral:rRNA from 1 species
GAUGAACGCUAGCUACAGGCUUAACACAUGCAAGUCGAGGGGCAGCAUCAUCAAAGCUUGCUUUGAUGGAUGGCGACCGGCGCACGGGUGAGUAACACGUAUCCAACCUGCCGACAACACUGGGAUAGCCUUUCGAAAGGAAGAUUAAUACCGGAUGGCAUAGUUUUCCCGCAUGGGAUAAUUAUUAAAGAAUUUCGGUUGUCGAUGGGGAUGCGUUCCAUUAGGCAGUUGGCGGGGUAACGGCCCACCAAACCUACGAUGGAUAGGGGUUCUGAGAGGAAGGUCCCCCANAUUGGAACUGAGACACGGUCCAAAACUCCUACGGGAGGCAGCAGUGAGGAAUAUUGGGUCAAUGGACGAGAGUCUGAACCAGCCAAGUAGCGUGAAGGAUGACUGCCCUAUGGGUUGUAAAACUUCUUUUAAUACGGGAAUAAAGUUAGCCACGUGUAGGUUUUUUGUAUGUACCGUAUGAAUAAGGAUCGGCUAACUCCGUGCCAGCAGCCGCGGU